rnacentral:lncRNA from 1 species
GUCUGGUCGUCCUGGAUGCAAGAAGGUUAGAGAGGUUGAGUUAAUGUUUGAGGCCAUCAUUCAUUACAUGCUCCACAACAUGGAUUCUUAACUAGCAAUCUGAGGACUUUUCAACCACAAGGUAAGGCCUACUGCCCACCCCUUUCUGUAGGAUCUGGGCAAACCGAACGGUGAAAGCAAUCCACACAGCUAGAGAGGCAAUUUGCAGUGCGGGAAUCUAGUCAGUUUCCUGGCUUCUCCAUGCACUUGUCUCAAUAUAGUUUCACGAAGUGAUGCACCUGCGCAGUGAACUGUGCCUUCUGCUGCUCGAGCACCACCAGGCGUUGUAACUCAGCUUCACCAAGCUCUGCCAAUAUCAGCGUCAGGCGCUUCGCUAUGGUACGCAUGCGUGGUCCUGAAAGCAACUUUUGCUCUUUAUCAUCAACUCUAAGAUACUCAGGGGCUUCUAUCAAUGAUGAGACACAUCUGCAGAAACUCAUAUUCCUUCCACAGGAUCACAUGAUCCUUGUCCAAGGGUGAACACACAGAAAGAACAUUGUUCAAGCAAACCAUACCAAUCCUGACCAGAGAGGACAGAAAGAAACUGACUCUCAGGAGAGAGGGCCCAAGUACUUUAAUGCAUUUUUUGAAAUUAUUAUAAAUUAUUUUACAACAUCCACAGCAAAUGAAACUAAUUAAAAGUAUUUUGUAAUACACAUGUCCCCAGAAAUAUUUUGUGAAGUUAAAAGGAAAAAAUG